ACUCCUACGGGAGGCAGCAGUGGGGAAUAUUGCACAAUGGGGGAAACCCUGAUGCAGCCAUGCCGCGUGUGUGAAGAAGGCCUUCGGGUUGUAAAGCACUUUCAGUAGGGAGGAAGGUAGUGUAGUUAACACCUGCAUUAUUUGACGUUACCUACAGAAGAAGCACCGGCUAACUCCGUGCCAGCAGCCGCGGUAAUACGGAGGGUGCGAGCGUUAAUCGGAAUUACUGGGCGUAAAGCGCAUGCAGGCGGCCUGUUAAGUCAGAUGUGAAAGCCCGGGGCUUAACCUCGGAAUUGCAUUUGAAACUGGCAGGCUAGAGUCUUGUAGAGGGGGGUAGAAUUUCAGGUGUAGCGGUGAAAUGCGUAGAGAUCUGAAGGAAUACCAGUGGCGAAGGCGGCCCCCUGGACAAAGACUGACGCUCAGAUGCGAAAGCGUGGGGAGCAAACAGGAUUAGAUACCCU
rnacentral:rRNA from 1 species